UCACUGAUUUGUUCACGAACAACGAGACCGCUUCCUGCUACAACAUUGAAAGUUUCUAUUUUACAUAAGAAAGAGUGUAGAGCGAACUAGGAGCGGGAAACCUGGCGGUUUUGGAGUUAAAGCUUAGAAAGGGUUGCCUUAGUCAGUCAUGACAGCACUACCUGGCGCUGGGCCAAGGAUUCCUGGCCUACACUCUCAGACCGCAGCGCCAGUACCCCCACAGCAGCCUCAAAGUGCCCUGCGUGAGAUCACAUGUGUCACCCUCUGCAAAGUUGGCCAGGAGACUGUUCAGGACAUUGUGGCACGUACAAUGGACAUCUUCCACAUGCUCCGGGCAACGCAGCUUCCGAAUGGAGUCACACAAAAUCACAUGAUGUACCAGGAACGGUACAACAAACUCCAGGAGCACCUGCGCCAGCUCACCCUGCUCUUCAAGAAGCUACGGUUGCUGUAUGAUAAGUGUGGAGAGAUGUGUGGUGUCUCUGACGUCUCUGUUACAGAGUUGAUUCCUUUUGUGGGUGAGGAGCCCUUCAGACCUUCAGACCUUCCGAACGUUGGCAGUUUAGCAAACAAAGAGUGCCAGGAAAUCCUCAAGAAACUACAUCAGAAGAACCAUGAAUUGAAGCAUAUUAUGGACCAGCUACGAAAUCUCAUUUGGGACAUCAAUUCUAUGCUGGCAAUGAGGAACUAAAAUCCCAACACGAAUCCCAUUGUUUCAGAAACUGACCUCUCUGUCUACGUCAUUGUUUACUUUGCAUUUGGAGGGGAUGCUGAUACCCUGCGGACUCACCUCAAAAUCCAUUGUUCCAUCAGGCCCGAGGAGUCCUGGUAAGCUUGUAUCAACACUACCACACCAAGGACAGGAUCACCAGGGUUGCUCUUGUCUGUCCAAUUCAACAAGCUCCCACAUGUACGUAUGGAUAUUAGACAAAGAUUGGAUCAGGCUUGCUUAUGAUGCUAUUGGUAGGCAAAUAGCCAGACAACACUCUUUCCUGAACCAGCACGGAAAGAAUAGCCACGUGGAUGAGACACUGGAAGAACGAUACCCUGAUAUACAUUAGUGGAGCAGCCCACCACAAUGAGACACCGAUGGGGAAAGAAGUGCUACUAGAGAGAAAUAUUCUUGACCAAAGACUUACCUUUUAUGGCCAUAUUUCAUUUGUAAAUGAAUAACACAAAAUGGUGCUUUUUAAAAAAAUGACUUGCUUGCUAUCUCUUACCAACAGAACCUUUCACUGAUAUGCAUCAAUGCCAUUUUAUCUGCAGACCCAACAAUUCCAAUUGUCUCCCAUCCAACCUCCCGUCAACUGUCCUCCAUGAAUGGUGAGUUCAUCUAAAAACCUGGUCUUAACACACAGACCAAGUAGUCAGCAACCAGCUUUUACAGGCCUGGGGGGAGACGUGUAAUGGCCUUCUGCCUCUCAGUGGGAUCUAUGCACUCCAUUAAUGAAAACACACCAGGUGAGGCAUUCUAAUAUCCACCCUGCCUCCUCCCUGUACUCACCAACCUAUACUAGAUACCAGGGCAAGUAAUGCCUCAGUUUCAAAAUACUCAUUGUUCAAAUUCCUGCCCAUCUGCUUUCCUCCAAUUUGAGCUUCUUGACCAUUAUUCCUCCAUUGUGGGCAGCCAUAUCUUCAGCUGCUCAGUUGGAAUUUCUUCACCUCUCUCUCUCUCUAAAUCUUAAAGUCUCUCUGGGCAAGGGUUAGGUCACCAAGUCUAAUAUUUCCCAUGUGGCUCCAUGCCAAAUGUUCUUCGAUUUUGAUUCAGUAAAGUGCAUUAGAAUGUUUUACUAGGUGAAAGUGGCAAAUGUGCACUGUUGGUGGGGGGAGCGAAUGCUUGUACAUGUCAUGCCAAUCAAGUGGGCUAUUUUGUCCCGAAUGUUGUCAAGCUUCACAUUUCAGAAGUACAACUUCAAGUCCUGGAGCUGCACUUGUUGCAGAAAGUGGAACUAUUCCAUGACACUCCUGAUUAGUACCUUAUGAUGGCGCUAAGGCUUUGGGGAACCAUGAACCACUUUCCACAGUAUUCUGAGCUUUAUAUGACAAGUUUAGUCGAGUUUCUGUUCAAUGGUAACCAUCAGGAUAUUGAUAGUGGGGGUUCAGUGAUGGUUAGGAAUAGUGGUUAUGUUCUCUCUUAUUGCAGAUAAUCAUUACCAAGUAUAUCUGUGGCACAAAUGCUGCUUGCCAUGUCAGCCCAAGCCUGGAUAUAGUUUAGAUUUUGUUGGAUUUGAUUGUGGACUGCUUCGGUAUCUCAGGAGUCGCAAAUGGUGCUUUACAUUGUGCAGUCAUCAAUCAACCUUCUUCUGACGUAUAUGAUGGAGGGAAAGUCAUUGAAGCAGCUGAAGAUGGUUGGGUCCAGCAAGAUUGCUGCGAAUGCUUCAGCCUUAUCUUUUGCACUGAUGUGCUGGCCUCUUUCAUCAUCGAUGAUGAGGAUGUCUGUGGAGCCUCUUCCUCCAGUUGACAUCUCAUCUUCAGGUCUGCCUAGCAUGCUGUCCUGAACUCGCCAUGGAACCAGUCUUGAUCCCCUGGCUUGAUGGUAAUGGUUGAGCGAGGGAAUAUGCUGGGUCAUUGGUUUGCAGAUUGUGUUGGAGUACGAUUUUGCCAUUCUUGUUGGUGCACAGUGCCUCAUGGAUACCCUGUCUUGAAUUGCUAGAUCUGUUCAAAGCCUGUCCCAUUUGGCACGGUAAUAGUGCCAUACAGCACAAUGGAGGGUAUUCUCAAUGUGAAGGCAGGACUUCAUCUCCACAAGGACCGUGCAGUGGUCACUCUUACCAGUAAUGUCAUGGACAGAUGCAUCAACAGCCUGCUCCUUUUCUCUCAAUCAGUUGGUUGGAAGUCAGAGAGCUGGACUGAAUUUGUUCACUGUUAACUGUUAUGAAACUGUGAGAUUAGGUAAUUCAUGGAUUGAUGUUCAAGUCCCUAAUAUAUUUCUUACAUAUUGUUUA